CGCUCCAGAACCGUCAUGGCUGACCCAAUAUUUAACGGAGGUCUGCGAGGUCUUGGAGAGACCGUCGGUUGCUAUCGCCGUCUUCAUCAUUGGGGUCGUCUUGAUUGUUGUCGGCAGCAGAGAGGUCAAGUGGACCCUUGAACUUUUGGAAAGAUUCGGGCUGGCCGAGAAGCCUCAAGACACCAUGGUUGUUGGUAACUUCAUGGCGGUGUUCGUGUUUUUCUUCAUCUGGAUCGAUAUUAUUGUGCUCCUCUAUCUCAAGCGCUUGUUUUUCGCGAUAGGAGGCUAUCUUGGCAGGUAUUACGCCAAAGCUCAACAUGCCUUGUUCUCGGCCCACCAGAGCGACCAGCAAGAAGAUGAUGAUGACAAGAAAAAGAAGAAGCGAGCUUGAACUGAUAGAAAACGAGAGAUGUACAUCACUAGAAGAUUUGGUUUCAGAUGGGUCAAAGGUCAUUAGGAAAACAACUUCAACGGUCAGCUUUGGUUUGGUGCUUUUACUUUUACUAAAAACUGGCCACAAUUUGAUAUUUAGACGACUAAAUUGUAUGUAACUAAGAUUUUCAUUCUCUGGCCACAUUUUAAAAAAAUCUGUUGACAAUUAAUUUCUAGGUAACUAAAACCCCCAUCCCAGAUUUUGGAAAAGUUAGGAUAUGCAAUAGUGACUGUACGGGCAGUAGCUAUAGGUUCUUGUUUGAAUGUGUUAUUUACACGUACGAAGUGCGCCUGUGCAUGAUUGGUCGACCGUGGUUGAUUAAUAAUUUUUUUAACAACUAAUUCAUUACAUGAUGUCGUUGCUUCGAGUGGACGAUUUGGCAAAGAUUUAAAUUUAAAUAUAAUUCACAACAGCAUUUUAAAAAUUUAAGUAACUUUUUUUUAACAAUAUAGAAUUAUAUAUUUCUACAUUUUUUGUAAACACAUUUAAAGAGCAUAUGCUGAUAUGUUUUGUAUAAUGGCUGGAAAUGUAUACAUUUUGUUUGAGAUAGCUAAGAACAACUAUAUAUACAUAUGUAUAUAUAUAUUCGUUGAGUGUAAGUAAAAUAAUUCAUGCAUGUGUAAUGUCGUUUGACUGUGAGUGAUAAGCCAUCCAUCUGUAUUUAUCAUUUAUUAAUAAAAGCUUGCUAGUAAAGAGCCAAAAAAGUC